rnacentral:rRNA from 1 species
AUGCGAUACUUGGUGUGAAUUGCAGAAUCCCGUGAACCAUCGAGUUUUUGAACGCAAGUUGCGCCCGAGGCCAUCAGGCCAAGGGCACGCCUGCCUGGGCGUCACGUAUCACGUCGCCCUCCCCACUCCUCUCCCCGAACGGGACGAGGACCGCGGGUGAGGGCGGAAACUGGCCUCCCGUGCCUUCGCGCGGCCGGCCUAAACCGGGGUCCCUAGCUGCGGACGUCACGACGAGUGGUGGUUGAAACCCUCAACUCGAAAGCGAGUCGUGCGCGCGCCCCGUGAGCCAGGAGACCGCUAGACCCUGAGGCGAGCGAGCCCCUUGCGAGGAACGCUCUCCACGACCGCGACCCCAGGUCAGGCGGGGCUACCCGCUGAGUUUAAGCAUAUCAAUAAGCGGAGGAAAAGAAACUAACAAGGAUUCCCCUAGUAACGGCGAGCGAACCGGGAAGAGCCCAAGCUUAGAAUCGGGCGGCCUUGCCGUUCGAAUUGUAGUCUGGAGAAGCGUC